CCUACGGGAGGCAGCAGUGGGGGAUAUUGGACAAUGGGGGGAACCCUGAUCCAGCGACGCCGCGUGAGUGAAGAAGUAUUUCGGUAUGUAAAGCUCUGUCAGCAGGGAAGAAAGAAAUGACGGUACCUGACCACGAAGCCCCGGCUAACUACGGGCCAGCAGCCGCGGUAAUACGUAGGGGGCAAGCGUUAUCCGGAAUUACUGGGUGUAAAGGGAGCGUAGACGGUUAAGUAAGUCUGGAGUGAAAGGCCGGGGCCCACCCCCGGGACUGCUCUGGAAACUAUUGAACUUGAGUGCAGGAGAGGUAAGCGGAAUUCCUAGUGUAGCGGUGAAAUGCGUAGAUAUUAGGAGGAACACCAGUGGCGAAGGCGGCUUACUGGACUGUAACUGACGUUGAGGCUCGAAAGCGUGGGGAGCAAACAGGAUUAGAUACCCGGGUAGUC
rnacentral:rRNA from 1 species